GACGAACGCUGGCGGCGCGCCUAACACAUGCAAGUCGAGCGAGAACCAGGGCUUCGGCCCUGGGGACAGCGGCGAACGGGUGAGUAACACGUGAGCAAUCCACCCUCGGCACCGGGAUAGCCCGGGGAAACCCGGAUUAAUACCGGAUGGCCCGCCCGCCCUUCGGGGCGGCCGGAAAAGGUAGCUUCGGCCUCCGGCCGAGGCACAGCUCGCGGCGGAUUUGCGUGUUGGUGGGGUAACGGCCCACCAAGGCGACGAUCCGUAGCUGGUCUGAGAGGACGAUCAGCCGCACUGGGACUGAGACACGGCCCAGACUCCUACGGGAGGCAGCAGUGGGGAAUCUUGCGCAAUGGGCGAAAGCCUGACGCAGCGACGCCGCGUGCGGGAAGAAGGCCUUCGGGUUGUAAACCGCUUUCAGGAGGGACGAAGCCACUCGGGUGAACAGCCCAGAGGGUGACGGUACCUCCAGAAGAAGCACCGGCUAACUACGUGCCAGCCGCCGCGGUAAGAC
rnacentral:rRNA from 1 species